rnacentral:rRNA from 1 species
AUUGAACGCUGGCGGAAUGCUUUACACAUGCAAGUCGAACGGUAGAGGGGGCAACCCCUCGAGAGUGGCGAACGGGUGAGUAAUAUAUCGGAACGUGCCCAGUCGUGGGGGAUAACGUAGCGAAAGUUACGCUAAUACCGCAUACGAUCUACGGAUGAAANCGGGGGAUCGCAAGACCUCGCGCGAUUGGAGCGGCCGAUAUCAGAUUAGGUAGUUGGUGGGGUAAAGGCUCACCAAGCCAACGAUCUGUAGCUGGUCUGAGAGGACGACCAGCCACACUGGAACUGAGACACGGUCCAGACUCCUACGGGAGGCAGCAGUGGGGAAUUUUGGACAAUGGACGCAAGUCUGAUCCAGCCAUUCCGCGUGCAGGAUGAAGGCCCUCGGGUUGUAAACUGCUUUUGUACGGAACGAAAAGGUUUCUAUUAAUACUAGGAGCUCAUGACGGUACCGUAAGAAUAAGCACCGGCUAACUACGUG